CGCUACCGAUCUGCAGUGGUUGUACCCUCCUCCACACCCCCCCUUUGUUCUCCCCCCCUCCACCGCCCCCCCCCCCCCUCUGUUCUUCAUACCUCCACACCCACCUCAUCAACAUCAGAAAGGGCAAUUUCUGGUCUCCCUAACUCCAUUGUCCCUUCAAAAGGAACUAGCGAUGCCUCUGCUGCCACUACAUCUCAAACAUCAUCCGAGUCUAGUAAAAGAGGUAGGAAAAGGAGAUCAAUUGUCCAAUUGAAAGUAGCUCGACGAGGUGGCAAGAUUUUCAUUGAACCUUCAGGUGACAAG
rnacentral:lncRNA from 1 species